rnacentral:rRNA from 1 species
AACACAUGCAAGUCGAGCGGUAGAGAGAAGCUUGCUUCUCUUGAGAGCGGCGGACGGGUGAGUAAUGCCUAGGAAUCUGCCUGGUANUGGGGGAUAACGUCCGGAAACGGACGCUAAUACCGCAUACGUCCUACGGGAGAAAGCAGGGGACCUUCGGGCCUUGCGCUAUCAUAUGAGCCUAGGUCGGAUNAGCUAGUUNGUGAGGUAAUGGCUCACC